rnacentral:rRNA from 1 species
CCACUAGAACCGCAGAGAUGUGGGCGUGCCCGAAAGGGAACCUAGACGCAGGUGCUGCAUGGCUGUCGCCAGCUCGUGUCGUGAGAUGUUGGGUUAAGUCCCGCAACGAGCGCAACCCUUGCCAUUAGUUGCUACAUUCAGUUGGGCACUCUAAUGGGACCGCCGGUGACAAACCGGAGGAAGGUGGGGAUGACGUCAAGUCCUCAUGGCCCUUAUGGGUAGGGCUUCACACGUAAUACAAUGGUCGGUACAGAGGGCUGCCAACCCGCAAGGGGGAGCUAAUCCCAGAAAGCCGAUCGUAGUCCGGAUUGUAGUCUGCAACUCGACUGCAUGAAGCCGGAAUCGCUAGUAAUCGCGGAUCAGCAUGUCGCGGUGAAUACGUUCCCGGGUCUUGUACACACCGCCCG